AGCCUCAAAAUGUUGUACUAUUCUAAUACCUUUGUUAGGGUUAGGGUUAAAUUUAACAAAGACUGGACUUAUAAUGAAUCUCUGCUUUUCAGGUCUCAUUGCGUUUCGUGGGUGACUUGUCACGUCUAAUCCACGACGACAAGUUUAACCUUUCGACACCAAUAUCAUAAUGUGGCCAAUUACUCCUGAAUGAUAAGGCUCAUUACUACAGGACUUCUGUGUGAAGCAUUCUGAUGGUGUAUAAAGCAGGCAGAACAUUUUACACAACUCAAGGGAAUUUCUACAAUUCAGAAAUACUACAAACUU